AUUUUCUUUGCCCGUAAUUACUGAUUGCUGUUGCUGUCUUUUUUUUCUAACGUCUCUUGUAGUUGUGGCAUACUUCUCCUUGUCUUGGAAUACUGAAGGCUGCUCCAUUGAUUCUGUCAUCGCAUUUGGGAAACAGCAAAUUCUGAUCAUUGAGGAAAGGUAACAAUCAUUCCCUGACUUGUUCCUUCGGGUGAUAUGGUCACUUUUCAUCUGAAUGUCAAGAUGACAAAAUAUAUGAUUGAAUACGUCUUUCAGUAACUCUUAUUAGAAAAAUCCAGUUUGGUCACACAAGUGAUUUACAUUUUUCUGCUUGGGAAGUCUUUAAUGACUAAGAUGAAUGCCAGUAGUGGGUGUUGUACUUGGAGUUGGGAACCCUUCGGUACUACUGAAAGGAUACAGAUUACAGUGCCUGGAAAAGGUGGCAAGCUUUGAAAUAGCGUUUGCCAUCUCUAAAAAGGUACUCCAACAAACUAGAUUUGACAUCAUUUCUGAUACUUGUUGUAUCUCCUACAAGACAGUAUUCAUGGGAAUGGUAAAGCAGCAUUUACAACUUUGCGACAUUAUUCCCAAACGUACUUCCUGACUCAUGUUCCAUUUGAACGAAUUUUCAGCGCUCAGGAAAAUUACAGAGUGUAUUGUUGUAAAGGACUCUGCUCGCAGUAUCAGUGUACAUCCAAACAGGCUUCUGUUUCUUAGAGAGUAUUACAGAAAUAAAAGGCAUUUUCUAUAUAGAAAGAUUAAACA
rnacentral:lncRNA from 1 species